GAGGGGUUUCGGUUUGGUGACAGGCGGAGGGAUCAUUACCGAGUUUACAACUCCCAAACCCCUGUGAACAUACCACUUGUUGCCUCGGCGGAUCAGCCCGCUCCCGGUAAAACGGGACGGCCCGCCAGAGGACCCCUAAACUCUGUUUCUAUAUGUAACUUCUGAGUAAAACCAUAAAUAAAUCAAAACUUUCAACAACGGAUCUCUUGGUUCUGGCAUCGAUGAAGAACGCAGCAAAAUGCGAUAAGUAAUGUGAAUUGCAGAAUUCAGUGAAUCAUCGAAUCUUUGAACGCACAUUGCGCCCGCCAGUAUUCUGGCGGGCAUGCCUGUUCGAGCGUCAUUUCAACCCUCAAGCACAGCUUGGUGUUGGGACUCGCGUUAAUUCGCGUUCCUCAAAUUGAUUGGCGGUCACGUCGAGCUUCCAUAGCGUAGUAGUAAAACCCUCGUUACUGGUAAUCGUCGCGGCCACGCCGUUAAACCCCAACUUCUGAAUGUUGACCUCGGAUCAGGUAGGAAUACCCGCUGAACUUAAGCAUAUCAUAAAGGGGAAGGAA
rnacentral:rRNA from 1 species